UACGUAGGGCGCAAGCGUUUAUCCGGAAUUAUUUGGGCGUAAAGAGCUCGUAGGCGGUUUGUCGCGUCUGCCGUGAAAGUCCGGGGCUCAACUCCGGAUCUGCGGUGGGUACGGGCAGACUAGAGUGAUGUAGGGGAGACUGGAAUUCCUGGUGUAGCGGUGAAAUGCGCAGAUAUCAGGAGGAACACCGAUGGCGAAGGCAGGUCUCUGGGCAUUAACUG
rnacentral:rRNA from 1 species